rnacentral:rRNA from 1 species
CGUACCAUAACCGACACAGGUGGGUAGGUAGAGUAUACUAAGGGGCGCGAGAUAACUCUCUCUAAGGAACUCGGCAAAAUGACUCCGUAACUUCGGGAGAAGGAGUGCCUUAUUUCUAAGGUUGCAAUAACAAGAUCCAAGCAACUGUUUAUCAAAAACACAGGUCUCCGCUAAGUCGUAAGACGAUGUAUGGGGGCUGACGCCUGCCCAGUGCCAGAAGGUUAAAGAAGUUGGUUAGCAUUUUGCGAAGCUGAUAACUGAAGCCCUGGUGAACGGCGGCCGUAACUAUAACGGUCCUAAGGUAGCGAAAUUCCUUGUCGGGUAAGUUCCGACCCGCACGAAAGGCGUAAUGAUUUGGAUACUGUCUCGGAGAGGGACUCGGUGAAAUAGACUUGUCUGUGAAGAUGCGGACUACCUGCACCUGGACAGAAAGACCCUAUGAAGCUUUACUGUAACUUGAAAUUGAAAUUGGACUUUAUUUGCGCAGUAUAGGUGGGAGGCGUUGAGAAUAUUCUUGCGGGAGUAUUGGAGCCAUCAGUGAGAUACCACUCUUGUAAUGUUAGAUUUCUAACUUUGUAUCAUUAUCUGGUCAAAGAACAGUUUCAGGCGGGCAGUUUGACUGGGGCGGUCGCCUCCCAAAUGGUAACGGAGGCGCACAAAGGUUUCCUCUGAACGGGUAGAAAUCGUAUCUAGAGUGUAAAGGCAUAAGGAAGCUUGACUGUGAGACCUACAAGUCGAGCAGGGACGAAAGUCGGUCUUAGUGAUCUGACGGUGCUGAGUGGAAAGGCCGUCACUCAACGGAUAAAAGUUACUCUAGGAUAACAGGCUGAUCUCCCCCAAGAGUUCACAUCGACGGGGAGGUUUGGCACCUCGAUGUCGGCUCAUCGCAUCCUGGGGCGGUAGUACGUCCCAAGGGUUGGGCUGUUCGCCCAUGAAAGCGGUACGCGAGCUGGGUUCAGAACGUCGUGAGACAGUUCGGUCCAUAUCCGGUGUAGGCGUUAGAAUAUUGAGAGGAGCCUUCUUUAGUACGAGAGGACCGAGAAGGACAUACCUCUGGUGUACCAGUUAUCGUGCCAACGGUAAACGCUGGGUAGCUAUGUAUGGAGAGGAUAACCGCUGAAAGCAUCUAAGUGGGAAGCCCACCUCAAGAUAAGUAUUCUCAUCACGUAAGUGAAUAAAGUCACGGUAAGACUAACCGUUUGAUAGGCAUUAAGUGUAAAUCUAGUAAUAGGUGAGCUGAGAUGUACUAACAGACCGAAGACUU